UGUCCAGGGAUGGGAAUCGAACCCACAGUGUUCUGCUUACCGGGCAGAUGCCAUGUCCACUAAUGUUGUGUAUGGUACUGGUUACUAGAC